AGAUCCUGGCCUGGCGCGCGCGACAGCUGCAUUAGGGGCCCCUCUUUGGCCUGGGCCACUCUCUCCACACCGGCUUGGAGACCCUCCUGAAGUCCUACUGAAGCGCCCUCCUGAAACGCUGGGAGAAUGCAGGGAUGGGGUCACCAUCCCUAAUCUACCAACCACGUUUGCUCCUGACCGGGUUUCUUUGCUCUUUGCUGGCAGGGCGGGAGAAGGCGAGCACAGCCCGAGACCCCCGAUCGAGCAAGAUAGGCCCACACAUCCAGGCUUCUCCGGUGUGCAGAGCCGCCAAAUGUGGCUUUGGUGGGAUAGAAACCCCAGUCAGUCAGGGACGCCUGAAGGUCACUGCGGACAUGGAUGGGCGGGGGCUCCUGGGAGACAGCCACAGCCCCGCCUCUAGGCCGCCCCUUCCCCUGGCACCGGGAUUUCAACUCUGCGGCAGCUGCACUGCAGAGCCCAGUGGCCACAAGGUUGGCCUGGUAUCCCUGCAGUUAUCCUGGGGGGCUUCUGUGAGGCAAUCGUCUUCGCAGAAGUCAGAGCAUGUGGGGACACCUAAGCUGUUUUUUAUUCUGGCUAGCCAGGUGGUAAUUCCUGACCCGCAGAGUCUAGUGCUGAUGGCCAUUGCUUUAACUGUUAAUGUUCCUCCUGGCUGAGUCAUUCUUAAGGAUUAGGUUGUUCUUGACCUUCACCCAAUUCAGUGAAACUUCUUGCCUCAUGAGUAUUCCCCCUUCACCAACAUUCCAAAGCUGCCCCAGGGUGCUUGGUGGCUUGAAUUCGAGGGCUAGGGGUGGGGAGUAAGGGAGGGUCCAUUCCAGACUUGCUUUUAUCAGUUUUUGUUCCUUUGACCUAGCAGAUUCAAAGUAGAAGAGACCAGGAACGGAGCUGGAGUGGAGACAAGAAGAGAAAGUGUUAAGCCCCACACCUUCUGCCCUGACUUCAGCCUGGGGCCCUGGAGUUAAGGAUACUGUCUGAUCCCACUGGUGAAGUGCCUGCACUGCACACAGGCAUAUGCCUAGGAGGAGAGGAUCAUUUAGGAAGUUGGGCAUGACUCACAUCAGACACAGAAGAGUUAAGUCUCCCAGUGCCCUUCCUACUGGCACUGUCCAUCUCAGUUCACCCACCACACUCAUGGUAAGGUUGGUUGAUGCCCAGAGCCUUGUUCAGGCCCAGGACUGAUGUCCUGUGGAAUGGGGUCACCUGCACACAGAUGUGCCCAGUCUGGCUCAUUCUGUGUUUUCGGAGUCUAUAGUAGCUAGCAAAAGCAAGGGCCACAGCAAGACAGACUCAUUACUUCUCACCUGCUUUUCUUCUCCCCGCCACGCCACCAGAUGGACCUGACCUUCUGUCAGCAAUCCCAUAGAAGACCCUGGGUUAACCUCUUGAGACAAAGCAGGCCAACCUAAUCCAUUCAUAGUCCUGAGCCCAGCUGAGAUUAUUAGAGGCAAAGGACCCUAGGACUAGUGGGCUUCCACUUUUACUUCCUCUGUCUCUGGCUGUCUCUGCCUUCCUGUGUCUACCUUUGUCUCUCUAUCGUCUCUAUAUCUGCUGUUCUUGUUUUUAUGUCUCAGUGUAUCUCUCUUUGUUUCUCUGUCCUAGCUUUUUUUCCCUCCCUCCUGUAUGGGUGUUUGUCUGCAUGUCUGUGGACCACAUGUGCAUCUGGUGCCCACAGCAUCCAGGAAAGAGUGUUGGAUCCCCCUGGGACUGGAGUUACAGAUAGUUGUGAGUUACCAUGUGGGCACUGGAAAUCAAACCUGGGUCCUCUGAAAGUGCAGCCAGUGAUCUUAACUAUCGAAUCAUCUCUCCAGUUCCCUAGUUUAAUUUUGUAUAUGUGUUGUUUUGGUAUUUAUUUAUUUAUUUAUUGGGUUGUUGUUUUCAAAGAGGUUCUCAUGUGUUACAGGCUGGUUUUGAUAUAUAGGCAGUGAUGACUUUUGUAUUUGACCUUCACACUCCUGGCAUCACCUUCCAAGUCCUCAGAGUACAGUACAAUGCCAUUCCCAGACUCUGCUGAGGGAAACAGGCAAGGAGAGUGACAGUCUCAAGUUUGAGUGAGAGAACCCUGGGAGAUGGCAGUUGCUUGGGCUUGAGAAAUCGUUCAGUGCAGUGCUACCCUAGGGAGAAGGCUCCAUAACUGCCUGCCAAGCUGAGGUGUGGACCAUAGCUAAGGCUGGCUUUUACAAGCUACCUAGACCUCUAAACCUAUAAUACAAAGAGGCAACAUGGCAAAAGGCCUCUGCCUAACUGACCAGCCAUCUGGAGUAGACAAGGCGUCUUUAAAGCAAGUCGACCUGGCUGGCCUCAAACUCACAGAGUUUGAGAUCACAAACUCACAGAGUUUGAGAUCACAAACUCAGCAGAGAUUCUUCCGUUUCUACCUCUCAACUGUUGGGAAUUAAAGGGAUGCACUAUCCAUUCCUGAUAGCUUCAUUACUAUUUUAAUAUUUUUGUUUGAGAUAUCUCUAUAUAAAUGGAAUUGGGGGGGUUGUGAAGAGAUGGCUCAGCAGAUAAGAGAGCUUGCUGUUCUUACAGAUGAUCCAGGUUCAGUCUACAGACUUCUAGCUGUACAAAGGAUCCCAAGAACCUAGUGAAAAAGACUGGUUUGUUGAAGAUCCAGGAGGUGAGAGUUCCAGGAUCCAGAGGACUUGUGUAUUAGGACAGACAGGAGGCAGAUAGUGAUAGGAAAAGGUGAAAAUGGAUAAAUGGCCAAGUGAUGUAGACAUCAUGGAGGAGCUAACAACCAGAGGUCAGCCCUGGACACCAUAUGCAUUUGUUUACAGAUAAUUGCUGGCUGAGGGGCCUGGGACAGAGAAGGGACACCUUGCUCAUCUGUCCCCUUUACAGGUGCUUCAGAGGCUCCACUACCAGAAAGCACAGAAUGUGAGGGCUGAGAGGGCCUCCUAAGGUUGACAGAAAACCCCUCUGAAGGGUUGUCUACCAGGCUGGGGCAGUGCUAACACAGCACUGGCAGGCCUUGUCCUUUCCCCUUCCCUCUCCCUUGCUAAACUGUUAGAUUGCAUUCCUAAGCUAGUUCUCAAGGUCUCUUCCCUUAUUUGGCCACUUCCUUAAGCCUGACUAAAACUCCAAGGUUCAGGAAUCAACAUUCACAUUUUGGCUAUACUGGUUAACUGGUCCAAUCAGCUCUUACCAACUCAUCCUAACACAAUUUUUCUUUGUCCCCUUAAAAAUCCAUCCCUACAGAGACACCUGCUGUCUUAUUCCUAACCAGAGGAAGUCUACCUCACCCCCCACAUCUCUAGGGUAAUAAAUUUUUGUGCUG
rnacentral:lncRNA from 1 species